rnacentral:rRNA from 1 species
AGAGUUUGAUCAUGGCUCAGGAUGAACGCUAGCUACAGGCUUAACACAUGCAAGUCGAGGGGCAGCAUGACGAUUGCUUGCAAUUGUUGAUGGCGACCGGCGCACGGGUGAGUAACGCGUAUCCAACCUUCCCCUUAGUAGGGCAUAGCCCGGCGAAAGUCGGAUUAAUACCCUAUGUUUUCCAAUGAGGACAUCUGAGCUGGAACAAAGAUUUAUCGCUAAGGGAUGGGGAUGCGUCUGAUUAGCUUGUUGGCGGGGUAACGGCCCACCAAGGCAACGAUCAGUAGGGGUUCUGAGAGGAAGGUCCCCCACAUUGGUACUGAGCCAGGAUCAAACU